rnacentral:rRNA from 1 species
CCUACGGGAGGCAGCAGUGGGGAAUAUUGCACAAUGGGGGAGACUCUGAUGCAGCGACGCCGCGUGAGUGAUGAAUUAUUUCGGUAUUUUAAGCUUCAUCAGCAGGGAAGUAGAAAGACGGUACCUGACUAAGAAGCAUCGGCUAACUACGUGCCAGCAGCCGCGGUAAUACGGAGGGGGCAAGCGUUAUCCGGAUUUACUGGGUGUAAAGGGAGCGUAGACGGCUGUGCAAGUCUGAAGUGAAAGCCCAGGGCUCAACCCUGGGACUGCAUUGGAAACUGUGAAGCUAGAGUGCUGGAGAGGUAAGUGGAAUUCCUAGUGUAGCGGUGAAAUGCGUAGAUAUUAGGAGGAACACCAGUGGCGAAGGCAGCUUACUGGACAGUAACUGACGUUGAGGCUCGAAAGCGUGGGGAGCAAACAGGAUUAGAUACCCCUGUAGUC